UACGGAGGGUGCAAACGUUGCUCGGAAUCAUUGGGCGUAAAGCGCACGUAGGCGGCCUGUUAAGUCGGAUGUGAAAGCCCUCGGCUCAACUGAGGAAGUGCACCCGAAACUGGCGAGCUUGAGUACGAAAGAGGAUCGCGGAAUUCCCGGUGUAGAGGUGAAAUUCGUAGAUAUCGGGAGGAACACCGGUGGCGAAGGCGGCGAUCUGGGUCGAUACUGACGCUGAGGUGCGAAAGCGUGGGGAGCAAACAGG
rnacentral:rRNA from 1 species